rnacentral:rRNA from 1 species
CAGCAGCCACGGUAAUACAGAGGUCUCAAGCGUUGUUCGGAUUCAUUGGGCGUAAAGGGUGCGUAGGUGGCGGUGUAAGUCUAACGUGAAAUCUCGGGGCUCAACCUCGAAAUUGCGUCGGAUACUGCAUUGCUAGAGGAUUGUAGAGGAGAGUGGAAUUCAUGGUGUAGCAGUGAAAUGCGUAGAUAUCAUGAGGAAGACCAGUUGCGAAGGCGACUCUCUGGGCAACUCCUGACACUGAGGCACGAAGGCUAGGGGAGCAAACGGGAUUAGAUACCCGCGUAGUCCCUGUCUCUUAUAU